UUAACAAGAAUGUUUGGGGCAAAUCCCAGUGGGAAAGUCUGCUUCGGCAGACUACUAAACAUCCUGACC
rnacentral:ncRNA from 12 species